rnacentral:lncRNA from 1 species
UUUUUUUUUUUUUUUUUUUUUUUAUUAUUAUUAUUAUCAGUCUCAUCAGUUUUUUGCUAAUAAAAUUAUGCCCAGGAGGUUAUUAUAUCGACUGGUCAAAUAAAAUGUAAAAUUUGUUUAACUAUACAAAAAGAAUAAUGUCUGAAUUCUUGUUACCGUCUGGACUCGCUUAGACACAUUACUUGCACUUGUUCACUUUCCUUCCUGAGGGGACGCCGUCAGUCAGGUAAGUUAAGGGAGAAAGUACUUGCUCGUCAGUGCGUAAGACUGUGUUUGCUAAAGAAUGUCUGUAUCAUAUAGUGUAGUGGAUAAUAAACGAGCAUCAGAGUGCAUCAAAGAGAGAUCAAAAGCUGUAUACUGCUAAGUGUUUGUUCUGGUAUGGAAAAAAAUCACAGUUUUUAGCCAUUGUGUUUUUGUUAAUGACUGAUUUUCAAAUUUCGCUAUUAUUAAAAUGUUUCCAUAUGAACUGAGAAAUUGUGUUUUAAAUUAAGAAUCCUUAAAUUAGUAAAUAUUGAUUUAUUUUGGUUUUUUGAAUGGGUAUUUUAAGGUAUGUGGCUUAAAUUCUUUCAUGACCUUUUUUGAUAGUGUGUGCAUAUGAAGUGCUUUAUAACCAUCUCCAUUUUAUUGCUUAAAUACUUCUGGGGUCUGUUGGGUAAGAAUUGCUCACAUCCGGUGUUGGUCCAGGGAGUUAAAUUAGCAGGUAGAAUAGGUGGCUAGACAGUGGCAUGGUUCCUUGGCUUGCUGUCUGUCAUUCAUUCACAACUGAAUGGGCAUCAUACCCCUGCAGUCUAGACUGUUGGCCACUUUUGACUCCCUGAGGAUCUUCUGUGAAGCACAUUUCCUGCUGCUUUCCCUUAAGUCUGACAGAGUUGAUAGGGAGGAAUAUAAAAUAUAAAUCUAUAACAUUAAUCAAAAUACAAUGUGCAGAGUAAAUCAGCAGUUUGAAUUCGAAGAUCAGCUGCCUUAGAUGUGUAAGUCACUAUGACAAGGACUGCUUGUAGUCUCAGGUUUGUGACCACACAGGAGUGUUGGGUAUGGGUUCCUUCUCAUGAGUGGGUUUGCCCAAGUCAGACACUGAUUGGUGACUCCCACAAGCUUUGUGUCACUAUUGCCCUAGCAGAUCUUGCAAGCAGGACACUAUUGGAGAUGACAAAGGUUUUGUGUGGCUGGCUUGGUGUUUACAUUUCUCCUUUGGUAGUGUUCAGAGUACCUUCCAGUAACAAAGACCUAGACUAUAGGGUGAAGGCUCUGUGUAGGCACCAGCUCAACUUCUCCAUGUUCUGUGAGUUGUGUAGGUGUUGUCUUCAGCAGUGGAGCCUUGCCAACAGUUGGGAAAUCAACCUAUAAUCUGGGCAACAGCCUGGGUUGUUGAUCCCUUGGGACCCCUUUGGCCAACAACUCAAUUAAAUGUAACCCAAUCCUAGUACUGGAAGGUGACAAAAAAUGGCCGUUGAGGCUCUGUUUUCCCCAUUAUUUAGUGAUUUCAUUUAGACCGCCUUUUUAUGUGUACAUAUAUUGGUAAGCUUCUGUUUUAGGUUUCAAUACUAUCCCUCAAAUGGCCCUUAAUUUUAGCAUGUCUCUCUAUUUCCUCCCUGCCCCACUUUUUCUCCCCCUCUCCACUUGAUCUUCCCGUCCCAGCCCUCCCCAUCCAUCCAUAACUAUAUUAUUUCCCUUCCCUAGGGAGAUAUAUCGCUCCUCCUAGUCCCUUACUCCGUACCUAAUCUCUGUGAUUCUUUAGACUUCAGUUUGGUUAUCAUUGACUUAAAAGUUAAUAUACACAUAUAUGAAAAUACGUGUUAUAAUUGUCCUUUGGGGUCGGGGUUACCACACUGCAUGAUUUUUGUUUUCUUGUUCCACCUGUUUGUGAUUUUAUUUUUUAAACAUCUGAGUGAUGUUCCAUUGUGUGAGGAUAUUCCAUCCUCAUUUUCUGUAUCUGUUUUAGUUAAUUUGAACUGCUGUGAACAGAUACUAUGACCAAGGACAACAUUUAAUUGGGGCUGGCUUACAGGUCCACAGGUUCAGUCCAUCAUCUUCAAGGUGGGAACAUGCAGUAACUAGCAGGAAUGGGGCAGGCAGAACAGUUCUACAUCUUCCAUCUGAAGACUGCUAGUGGAAGACAAAGCAGCUAGGAUGAGGCUCUUAAGCCCACAUCCACAGUGACACACCUACUCCAACAGGCCACACCUAUUGAUAGUGCCACUCCCUGGGCCAAGCAUAUACAGACCAUCACAGUAUCCAUUCUGUUGAGGGACAUCUAGGUGGUUUUCAAUUUCUAUUAGGAAUAGAGCAGCAAUGAACAACUGAGCAGUGCCUUUGUGGUUGGAUGAAGUGUCCUUUUGAAUGUAUGCAAUACUUAUAGAGCUGGAUCUUGAGGUAGAUUGAUUCCCAUCUUCCUGAAGAGCUACCACACCCAUUCCCACCACACUGACCACAAGUUUGCGCUCCCAGCAACAAUGCAUGAGUGUGCCUCUUACUCUGUAUCCUUGCCAGCAUGGGCUGUCACUUUUGUUGUUCAUAGCCAUUCUGGCAGGUGUAAGAUGAACUCUCCAAGUUGUCUUGACUUGCAUUUUCCUGAUGACUGAGGAUGUUGAACAUGUCUUUAAGUGUGUCUCAGUCGUCUGAGUUUCAGCUUUUGAGAAUUCUCUUUAGAUUUCUACCCCAUUUUUUAAUUCAGUUGUUUUCUUGCUAAUUUUUUUUGUUGUUUUUUGGGGGUUUUUUUUGUUUUUUUUGUUUUUUUUUAUAUUUUGGAUAUUUGCCUCAGACUUUUUUUUUUUUUUAUUUCGAGGUUAGAAUACUUGUUUCAAGGUGUUGGAGAGAUGAGCCUGCAGUUACAAGCACAUACUGCUCUGCAGAAGAGUAGAGUCAGGAGUCAGUUUGAUUCCUAGCACUCUCGAGAGUUGGAAUCUCAUAACUGAUUAAAUUUCCAGGGGAAUCUGAUGCCCUCUUCUAUCCUCCAUGAGCUCCUACAUUCGUGUGUAUAUACCUGCCAUAGGCACACAUACAUAUAAUUAAAGACCUUUUUAACUUUUUCAUACAAUAUAUUUUGAUAAUGUUUUCCUCCUCCCUCAACCCCUCCCAUAUCUUUCCCACUUCCCUUAGCCACCCAACUUUGUUCUCUCCCUUAAAAAAAAAAAGAAAGAGAGAAAACAAGAAACAAAACCUCCACAAAGAACAAAAAUGAAAAUCAGAUAACAGAGUAAAUAUUCUUGCUUGAUAAUUUCUUACCUAAAAGUAGCUUCUGGAAAAGGGGAUAACCUGCCCUGUGGUGGCCUUGGGUAUUUGGUUAGUUCUAGCUUGUAGAUCUUGUGACUUCCCUGUUGGACUCCAGUGUAUCUGUGUGGGAUAUUGCUUUUCAAAUGUUUGAUCUUUUCCAUAAUUGUGACCUUUCUCAAGUCUCAAUUCUUGGGUCUUCUAUUGAGGUUAACCCAUUUUCUCUCCCUUGAUACAGUUCUGGAAUAUCUGUUUCAUUGUAUUUCUGUUUUGCCUGUUAUACUUUACUAUUCCUGGGAGGGAACUCUAUCAUCUCCACUUACUGUAAGAGGCAGUUAAAAAAAAAAAAAAAAAC